rnacentral:rRNA from 1 species
GUAGUAGUGGGUGUAGCGUACCUACUAGCCUACGACGGGUACGGGUUGUGAGAGCAAGAGCCCGGAGAUGGAUUCUGAGACACGAAUCCAGGCCCUACGGGGUGCAGCAGGCGCGAAAACUUUACAAUGCUGGCAACAGCGAUAAGGGAACCUCGAGUGCCAGGUUACAAAUCUGGCUGUCGAGAUGCCUAAAAAGCAUUUCAUAGCAAGGGCCGGGCAAGACCGGUGCCAGCCGCCGCGGUAACACCGGCGGCUCGAGUGGUAACCGUUAUUAUUGGGUCUAAAGGGUCUGUAGCCGGCCGGAUAAGUCUCUUGAGAAAUCUGGCAGCUUAACUGUCAGGCUUUCAGGAGAUACUGUCUGGCUCGAGGCCGGGAGAGGUGAGAGGUACUUCAGGGGUAGGGGUGAAAUCUUGUAAUCCUUGAAGGACCACCAGUGGCGAAGGCGUCUCACCAGAACGGACCUGACGGCAAGGGACGAAAGCUAGAGGCACGAACCGGAUUAGAUACCCGGGUAGUCCUAGCCGUAAACGAUACUCGCUAGGUGUCGGCCACGGUGCGACCGUUGUCGGUGCCGUAGGGAAGCCGUGAAGCGAGC